GGACUACACGGGUUUCUAAUCCUGUUUGCUCCCCACGCUUUCGUGCAUGAGCGUCAAUCUUGACCCAGGGGGCUGCCUUCGCCAUCGGUGUUCCUCCACAUCUCUACGCAUUUCACUGCUACACGUGGAAUUCUACCCCCCUCUGCCAGAUUCUAGCCUUGCAGUCUCCAUCGCAAUUCCCAGGUUGAGCCCGGGGAUUUCACGACAGACUUACAAAACCGCCUGCGCACGCUUUACGCCCAGUAAUUCCGAUUAACGCUUGCACCCUACGUAUUACCGCGGCGGCUGGCAC
rnacentral:misc_RNA from 1 species